AUCUCCAUCCAACCGCAGACGCCCUCCAAACCCCUCAUCUAACACAGCCUGAAUCCUGAUGCGAUGGCCUUAGCCACCGCCGCCGCCCCGCCGGCGAUAGCAGCGGCCACCUCUACGUCUCUCCCGUCUCUCCUCCAACACCACUCACCCGGCAGCCGCCGAACGGUCACAGCCCUGGCCUUCGCGCGGCGCUUCCGCAGCAAAAACCCUAGCCCCUUCCGCUCCGGCAGCAAGGCCGCCGCCCCGACCCCGGCCCUCGCCCCCGCCCCCGAAGACGACUUCGGCGGCCUCGAGGGAGAGCUCUGGCGCCUCCGCCGCCGCGCGGAGCUGCGCUUCCAGCGCCUCGCCGCGGAGGCCGACGAAGCCUACAGCGACCUCCGCUCCUGCGUCCGCGUCGUCGGUGGGGACCGCUUGGUCCUGACCUUCCGCCGCUCGUCGCUGCGCUUCGCCGCAUUCGCCCUUCUCUGGUCCCUCGCUCUCUCCGCCGCGGCCUGGGCGUCGCUGGGGCUGGCCUUGCGGGCCUGGCGCCAGCUAUGGGGGCGGGGCUGGUGGGAACGACCGGAAGGCGGAGCUGUGGUGACGAAGCGGGACCGGAGCAUGGGUGGGAAGGAGGUGGUGGUGGCUGUAUCGUCUCCUGUGCUACCUCCGGUCAGCCACGUCAAGGAGCCCGCAAGGAAGGUCAGGAAGAAGGAACCACAGGGAAGGCUCCCGGAGUGGUGGCCGGAGAUAGAAACCGAGUUGGUGGAACUGGGGCAAGAAGCGGACAAGUGGGCGAUAUUGGCCAAUAGAUUGGUCCGAGCAAUCGUUGACAAUAGGGUUGCGGGGAGGGAUUACAGAUACGAUGAUGCAGUUCAACUAAGGCAGUUAUGCAAGAUAUCAGGAGUAAAGGUCUCAUUUGACACAGAAAAUGCACGCGAUUCUUUCUAUAGGGCAACAACAGGCUUUGUUCUGGACGAUUGCAGCAGCAGAAGACAUGGGGACAGCACAAAUCAAUGGAGAGAAUCCAAGAGAUUUUCUUGCUGGUCUUUCUAUGAAUAUUGGGUUGGACAAGUUCCGUGCUGCCACACUUGUUUGUGCAUCAGUUGCUGCUCGCACUCGUGCGUGUCUCUUGCAAUGCUGGGCUCUAGAGAUUCAGGGAAAACGAGCGGAGGCAUUGGAUGAGCUUGUAAAAAUCUGUAGAAUUCAUCGUGUAUUCCCUCCAGAAGAAAAUUCUGCAGAAAUGGAAAUGGUCGCUGGUGGACUUAAAAAGAAUUUGGAAGUUGCAGAGAGGGUUCACCUUCUCUCUCUAUACAGGAGCGCAUGUACUACCGGUGUCAAAACCGUUGCAGAAGCUCUUGGCCUGAGCUCACCGGAUCAAUGAGAACACGUGCCGUAGAAGGGUCCAUUAUUUUUGUAGUUCCAGCUCGGCGUUGUCAUGCCUCAGUAACGGCUGAAAUAUUCACAAUCGAAGCCAUUGGCAUCCUCGGUUUUAUGAAGUUGCAGAAUGUGUGCGAUAUUUAAUUCGAGGAAUUAACAUGGGGCAUAAUACGUCAUAAAUUUUCCUAGCAGCACAAAAGGUCUAAAGCAUUCCAAACAAGGUGGUAUAAGGCAGUACAUAUGAACACAAUACCUUGUGCAUAGUUAGGCCAACGCAUCCAAAACAGGUUCUCUUGUAAGACAUACACAUAGUUUUGCUGGUGUCGUUGAACAAUGGCAGCAGUGGCUCAUCGAUGUAGCCGUGUAGGAUGCAGUUAUAGAGCAGGACAGCUUAGUGGAGGUAGACAGUUCAGGAUAGUGGUAUGCAUUUGCAUGGUCCGAAAAACCUUAUUGCCAUCAUUUGUGUCUGAAGGCUUGGUUUGGAUGGCCUACUCGUUGCAAUUCUGAGAAGAGUCGGCUAUGGUUUGGAUGGCCAAGUACUCCUACUGUUUAUGGGUCUGAUCGUCUGAGCAUGGAUGGAGCAAGAGAACUAUUGAAACGAUGUGAGAGUUGUAGUGGUGGUAGACAAUGCCGCAAGUGGUCACGUAGUUGUGCUCUCUAAUUUUUCUUUUCUUAUUAUUACCAUGUUUUUAUGAUUGAAGUGGAAGGACAAAAUCUUAUUGCUA